GCCUUCACCUCUUGAGCUCAAGUUAUCCUCCUGCCUCAGCCUCCCAAAGUGUUGGGAUUACAGGCGGGAGCCGCCAUGCCCCAGCCUAUUGAUAUUCUUGUUGAGGUUCUCAGACAUAUCUGCAUGGCCUCACACAUGGAGGAAAGAGACCCACAGAGGCAAAAACAAGACAUGGGGUAAAAAUAGACUGGAAGGAAACACACCGAAUGAUAGUGGUUUUUUCUGGGUGUUGAGAUUACCGAGCUUAUUUUUAAAUUUCUUAGAUCCUUCAGGUGUUCUACAACGUAAAAUGCAGACAGGGUGGGGACGUUGGUUGGAGUCAUGUUUUCCCUAAUGUUCUUACUGGUUCUAAAAUCUUCAAGCUAUGCUCUCACCCAAGGCUUCACUUAUUAUUAUUUUAACACUGUGGAUUCAUAAAGAAUGGAAGCCCACACAAGUCCAGGGAAGGAAGGAAAGGCAGACAGAGGCUUAUUUUCAGGCCUGGGCAGUUGCACAGGGUCCCUUGCUUAGAAGGGCCUCAUGCUUGGUUUCGUGUUCUGUGGUCGCUGUCCUGAAAUUCUUACUGAUUUUUGAACAAGGGAUCCUGUAUUUUCAUUUUGCACUGUGCCCUGAAAAUCAUGCCGCCGUCACUAGCCCUGGGAUUCUCCCCAGGACAGGUUUCCCUUCAGCUGCUCUAAGCCUUCGCCCUUGUCCUUGUCCAACCACGGACGUGGCCAUCCACGGAGCCCUCUACGUGCCUCAGAGCAAGUGUGCUUCGGCUGCUCAGGUGUGUGUCUAGAGACUGAUAAAAACAGGGCUCGUGAGUGGGUGCGGGAGGCCCCUGUGGUCUCUGUUCACACACGUACCUACCCUCAAGGCCAUGUCUACACUGGCCUAUUUCAGAGAACCGCCCUGUGCAUCAUGGGAUGCUUUGCCCCACAUCACGGCCCAGCUUGGUUCAGUCCUGGAGCCCUGUGUCCUGAAGCCAUGACCAACCCCAGGCCUGGCCCACCUUCUUCCUCAGUCUCCUCUCCCUCAAGCCCUCCACAGGACCCAUAAACCUUCCAUCUCCAUGUAAUCCUUUUGUGUGAUCCUUCUUCCAUACCUUUGCCCAUGCUGUUCACUCUGCUUGUACCAGCAAGGUUCCUUCCUCCCCAGAUCUGCCCUUUCUAGACCCAUCUCAGAUUCCACCCUUUCUAGAAAGACUUCAGGAAGUAUUUGAGAAGGGCCUGAAGAUGCUGUGGUUGCAUAGAGGAGGAUAUGAAUCACCUCGCUUAGAGGUAUCGGGGAGGGCUCCAUGGAGGUGGUGCCCUCAGGCCAAGGAAGAGAAGAUAUCUUCCGGGCAGAAGGGAGAGUUUGACGGGCUGGUUUGAUGUCAGACAGACCACAGGAUGACUCAAGGUCCUCUUUCCUCUUCUUAAACAUUAGUUGCAGCAAGUCCCACCAUCUGCCUGAGUCUGUUUUCAUCUCCACAAUGGAGGUGGUGAUGCCCAGCACACGGAGCUGUGAUGAGGAUUUAAUGGGGAAUCCAGAGCAUUUAUGGAAGUGCCAGGAGGCCAAGAUUCUGCAUAGGGACUGCAUGUGCUGGUGGAAUCUCAGUCACCAUGUCCCACGUUGAAGGAUGUUUGGAGGGGGCUGACUUUGGUCACCCUUCAAAUCAUAAGUUAUAUGCGUCUGCCCUUUCCGCCCACACGUAAGUCUGAACCUUUUGCCAAAAACACUUUUCCCAGACUCGAAAGAAAACCCCAAAGAGGAACCUAAACCUUCACGCUGCCUGCACCGAUUGGACCGGAGUGCUCAGGCUCGCGCCAACAAGUGUUUCAAAGAAGAAGCCAGACAGUGAAGGGGGAAGUGAGGGAGAAGCUGGAAAACUCUCAGGCUGACCAAUCGUCAGCCCAUUCAUUCGUUCAUCCAUCCAUCCAUCCAUCCAUCCAUCCAUCCAUCCAUCCAUCCAUUCUUUCUUUCUUUCCUCUAUCCAUUCAGUGAGAAGGGCUGAAUAUCACCUGUGAGCCUGCCCCUGCUCCCAAGAACACCCUUUGGACACCUGUGGGCUCUGCAAGGUUGGUGUAACCCCUACAGAUGAGGAAACCAGAGACAGAGAAGUGAAGUAACUCAUGCAGGUGACGGCAGAGGGCAGAGUCAGGACUUGAACCUGGAGAGCCUGGCUCUAAAGCCCAAGCUGGAAUCUCGAUACUCUACACCUCGAUAAGUUUUUGGGAAAUGACUGACUAAACAGAUGAACGCGUUUGCCCCCCCGCCGCCCCAGAGCCCCCUUAAAGCCUACAUGUGGCAGUUUGGGCCCAUUUCCUUGGCUUCCCUCCCUGGAGGGGCACCCACUGCCAGUGUCCCUGGUGAGUGUUUGCCUGUGGGGGUACAAGUGAGGGUUCAGCAAAGGUGACCUGGUGUGAGGGGGGGGUGCCCCAGGGGGUGCAGAGGAGGGCCUCAUGAGGCAGAUUCAGAAUGAAGGUUCUGGCCCCCAGUGGAACCGUGCAUGGGCAAGGGGUCCUCAGGGCCAUUGGCCCAUAAUUGUCAGACGGGGAAACUGAGGCCCAGAGAGAGGAAGGGACUUGUCCUUAGUUACACAGAGUGUCUGGAUCACAGCUCUUAGGUCUCAGCUUCCCCAUUUGUCACACAGGGAGAAUAAAUCCCCCUUGUCCUGCCUGGGGGUAGACCCCAGGGGGCCCCUGUGCCCUCUCACACCUUCCAUUCCAGCUUCUAGAAUUCCACCAUCCAUGCACCAGCCCUGAGGGUAGGCGUUGCCCUCUUCUCACCUCCUGCUCACGCCUCUACUGCAGGAUGGGAACCAAAUGCCUCUCCACCCUUUUCCCACACCCCUUCUCUCCACAGUGAACUGAGGGGAGUUUCUGAUCCCUUAGCUCAAAGUCAGAGAAACUGAGAGGGGAGGGCUGGGUGGGAGCCGUGGGAAUGUCAUGCACAAGCAGUCGGACUCUCCAGGGGUCUGGAUCUCUCCCUUGCUGCCUUGAAGGCCCCUGCACAGGCUGUGGCACUGGCUGAGUACAGGUGCCUGAAGGCAGAGGCAUGGAUGGGAUGCUUCAUUCUCAGCCUGUUUUUGCCAGUGAAGACAAAAGGGAAGUCAUCUUCCGUUGGUCUAUGGGGACCCUGAGGUAGUAGGAGCUCGGUGAUAAUUCUAGGGACCACCCUGGGUUGUCAGGUGGGGGAGACAGAGAAGCCCACAUAGGAGGCACCAAAUGCAACUCACUCGUGCCCUUUUACUCAUGAGAGAACACGGAUCCAGAGAUGUCAAGUGACUCAGACACAGUCUCACAGCACACAGGCGGCAGAGGCAGGUAGGGGACUGGGCUUCCCUGGCAGCAGUCCCCAAGCCUGCCUGAGAGGCACAUCAGAAUCGCUUUAGGGGAUUUGCAAAACCACACCUGCCCAGGCCCAAACCCUAGAGAUUCUGAUUCCGCAGUCUGAGCUGAAAUUUAGCAUCAUAUUCCAUGGCGAUUUUCCACCAGUGGAAAUCACAGGUGUUCUCUGGUAUCACAGCGGGGUCAGGGAUGACCUGAAAUAUUGUUCAUGCUCAUCACAACUGCAUGGCCCACCGCGGGGUCUUGUCACUCAGUGAGUUCUUGAAGAGGCACAGACAAAUGGAGUUCAACAAAUGGAAAACAACUGCCUUUAAUUAGCUCCGAGGACUACAAAGGGAACAACGUUAUAAUAGCAGCAACUCCAAGGAAGCAGCCACAGCUCUCAGCUCUCAGACCUGGGGCUGCCGCUCAUCAUCAGCUACAGCUAGGUUUGAUGGGAGUGCCCCCAUUUCAGGGGACAGCAGGCCCCCUUCACUCCCCGACUCAGUCCCCAUCUGCAGCAGCACAGCCUUCCUUGGCCUCACCAGGGAAGAAGAACAGGCCCCGCUCUCAGACAAGCCUUCCCAGAAGCCUGAGGACUCAAACACCCAAAUGUGUCUGGGUCCCUGCCCCGAGCCGGCCACCCAGGCAGCAGCCCUGAAUCACUCGGUCAGCCAGCGGCAGGGCAGGCCAAUGGGCUGGAGGGUAGGCAGGCAGGCAGACCCACCUCUGCAUCUCUGCUGACUGCCUCGGCUGAGGAAAGGCAGCACCAGCCCCCAACCCUGAAGUUCUAGAUCUCAUGCAGCCUCUCUGUUCUGGAACCAUCCAGAGGCACUGCCCUUAUACAUGGUCCACCCCCAGGCUCAGACAAUGAGAAUUCCACAAGCAGAGGGGACUCUAUUUGGGGCACAGAGAGGUUAAGUAACUCCCCUCCUAAGGUCUCUCAGCAAGGAAGCCACUGAGCCGUGGGACUUGAGCUCAGGGACUCUUGAUCCCCAGUCUCAGGUGUCACAGCCCCAUCUGGGCUCCUGCUAGGGAGGAGGAAGGCAGCAGGGGGUGUCUGAGGCCAGGGUGCAUCAGCCCUAAAUGCCAGACAGAGGCAGGAGAAGUCUCCCCAUGAGUCCCAGCCCCAUUAGAGGCUCCAGGUCGGGGAUCCCAGACCCCCUAUCCUUGCUGGGAGACACAACCCAGAACUCUGCAUCCCUGCAGCCACCAAAAAAGGCAAAAGCUGCCCAGAAACACUUUCUCCUCUUCCGUGGCCAAAUCCACGAACUUUCUCGAGGUCUGUCCCCCUGCCCCGUGCAGGUCCAGCUUCAGUGCAGCCCAGCUCUGUGCAGUUUUCCACAAAAGCCUGUGGCUUCCUUCUCCUCCCUCUGCUUCUGAUACCCCAGGAGUUACACACAAAAUGUUGGCGGUGGUCUCCAGGAAGACCCCUGCAUCCCACAGCUCUCCCCAGAAGUUGCCAGCAGUGACCUCCUGAGCCCAGGUGGGGAGUCCCAGGCAGGACAGGGGCUGGGGCUGCAGGCCCUGGGGCCCUGUUAGUGAAGCAGCAAGCCGAGGGUCCCUGAGAGUUUCCCUUGGCCCCUCUGAGGGCUGCCCUUUGAGGUCUUGAGGUCUUGGAGUAUCCAUCGCCCCCACGGCUUACUGUCCCCACCAGCGGAGGAUGAAAGUGCCACAGCGAUGUUCCACGCCAAGAGACCACAGAGACCACCAACCCCUCUUCCCACCUCAGGCUUUCAGAGGCCAGCGGAUUUAGGCGGACAGGCUGUGCGCUUGAGGGCAGCCAGGGCGGUCAGUGGAGGGACGUGGUCCGGGGCCUGGCCACAGCUCCCCACCCAGGGCCCUGGGCUAUUGUUACUCACCGCGGAUGAAGGUCGGCGAGUAGGUCGGGAAGGAGUCGAAGAUGCUGUUCGAUGCCAUGCCCCGCUCUGAAGAAGGCGAGAAUUUUCAGCCCUUCAGGGGGUUGGGUUGGGAUUCACUUGGUUGGCUGUUGUUUUAUUUUUUUUUCCUCUAGCUACUUUUGAAAAUAAAAGGGGGGGGUGUUGCUUUUUGUUGUUU
rnacentral:lncRNA from 1 species